rnacentral:tRNA from 1 species
GGCUCUGUGGUGCAAUGGAUAGCACAUUGGACUUCUAGUCAAAACUGUGUGAAAGAAGAAAUUCAAAGGUUGUGGGUUCAAGUCCCACCAGAGUCA